GCAGCCCGGAGGGAAGAUGUGCCAAACUGCGCCGCUUCAGCUGGACGCGGCGCGCAUCCCAGGGACACAGACGCCGCUCUGACUGGAUCAGGUUGAAGCAAGUCCAGCCAACCCCCUUCUGUCUGCGCUCACGUCAAGUGGAGUCUUCUCGGCAUCAAACCAGCUUUAUAGUCUCCAGCUUCAGCUUGUGCCCCAUGUCAGCACUACACGCAGGAGGAGAGGACAUCAGUUCUUCUCAACUCAUCAGAUUUCUUCUAAAAACAACAAUGUUUUGAGGACAUAUUACAAGAUGAAGGCAAACCUCUGCUUUUAUUCCAACCAUGAAUCAUAAAGGUCCAAGCAGAGGUGGUUUAUUGCAACAUCCAUGAAGACAUCCAUUAAGGCUGCAGUCUGACAAGAUUUGAACCUGCAGCUUCAUUACCUGCAGAUGACCUGCAUGCAGCUGUCCUCAAGCUGCCAAACAUUGACUUCAUAAUGAGACCAAACUACUAUCUAAAAGAAGCUGCUAGAUCAGAGGUGGGCAACGACCUGGGGGCCACAAACCGGAUUUUAUUGAUAAUACCUAUUAGUGUUUUGUUUUCCCUGAAAUUCUGGUGUCUCCUCAUAAAUGGUGCACUAGCAGUACAUUGACAUUUGUCCAGGUGCAGAAAAUUAUUUUGCAUUCUUGUGGUGUUAAAAGAUUUUUGUGUGUGUUUUCUGAGUUGGACAGUCAUUUUCCGAUCAUUUCAACACCAUGAACGCAGCAUGUUAUGCAUCUUUUUCCUUCAGGGUACAUCAACCCAUUGGUGCAAUUGGCACCAAAAGGAGAACAAAAGUCACCGUUUUGAAAGAAAGACUCCAAAAUGUUCUGUUUUAUGUCAGAAUUAAAGCAUGCUUUUGUCCAGAUUCCAUUGAGAUGGAGGACCAAAGCACUCCUGUCAAAUUUUGGAAGCCUUUGUGGCCAACAAGUCAAAAAGUUUGCACACCCCUGUGCUAGAUGAAAAUCAAAGAUUAGCACCUUCACACUCACAGAGAAGUGUCUAGUUUGGCUUUGUCCCAGUGGUUAGACCUUCUCGGGACAGACCGAGUCCACCUGCUCACAAUCAACACGUGGAAAGUCCUGGGCUGGUUAGGAAGGGUCUGGGCUGGAAAAUGAUGUGUCAGAGUUUUUUGUUUGAGGGCACCCUCUCAGUUUUACGGGGCCACUCAGAGCACACGCUGUGGUGCCAAGCAGGAAGUAGAGCAGUUGAGGUUUGAUGUAAAUCCCUGCAGUCAGGAGCAGCUGAAAAUAAUUUUGACCGCUUAGGAGAAGAAGGGGGGGUUCAGCUGCACUGAGAGGAUUUUUUUUCCUUCCCCCUCACUGUUCAGUUCUGGAGCAAGUUAUACCAUCCUGCCUUCACUAUUUCCUUCCUGAACGGAUGCAUUACCUAUUGUCAGUUACCAGUCGUAUAAGGGUUCAUUAACCAUCACAACACCCCAGUUUUUUUUUCUUCUUUUCGUUAAGGACACACAAUAACUCCCCUCCUGUGUUUGGUCAUAAACAUGUCGUAGGAAGGGGCCUACCUAACCUUUGUCCUCUACCACGCAGACCAGCCCCUUUUAGACUCCAUAAUAUGGUAAUAACAGACAUUUUAAAAUCUUGUAAAAGGGUGGAGUUUGGGGGAAAGGAAAACUAAAGAAAAAAUUGUAUUUUUAAGUCAGGGGUUGAUUGCUUUGAUAAUUAAUCACCUUUAUAAAACAAAGUUUAGUCUAGAAGAACUGCUUUUUCCCCCAAAAACAGUGCUAAGAGUUUUUAUUUCUGUUCAUGAAGUCACUCUUACACCAGCUGCCAAAACCUAGUUCGCCAUGCUGACCUCAGAAACCUCAAUUAGUCAGUCUGGUCAUUCAAAUAUAAAAUAUAAAAAUAGAAUGGAAAACUUUCAAUAUUUCACUAUUUGCAGACUCCUUUUCUAGCUUGUGAAUGGUUUAUAAAGUAAUUUUCUAAUUAUGUUCACAGUUCCAGUACUAUUUAAUGUACCUGAGCAGAAAUUAAACUUUUAACCAAAAGA